rnacentral:rRNA from 1 species
AUUGAACGCUGGCGGCAGGCCUAACACAUGCAAGUCGAACGAGUGGCGGACGGGUGAGUAAUGUCUGGGAAACUGCCUGAUGGAGGGGGAUAACUACUGGAAACGGUAGCUAAUACCGCAUACCAUCGGAUGUGCCCAGAUGGGCUUAGCUAGUAGGUGGGGUAAAGGCUCACCUAGGCGACGAUCCCUAGCUGGUCUGAGAGGAUGACCGGCGACAGGGGAAAUGAGAAAUGAUCAAGAGCCCUAAGUGAGACGGCAGGGGGGAGUGUGGGACAGUGGGCGCAAGGCUGAAGCAGCAAUGCGGGGUGUAUGAUGAAGGCUGUCGGGUUGUAAAGUACUUUCAGCGGGGAGGGGUUACCCGCAGAAGAGGCACCGGCUAACACCGUGCCAGCAGCGGCGGAAAUA